rnacentral:rRNA from 1 species
UGGGGAAUAUUGCGCAAUGGGCGAAAGCCUGACGCAGCGACGCCGCGUGGGUGAUGAAGGCCUUCGGGUCGUAAAACCCUGUCGGGGGGGACGAAACCUCGGCGACCGAAUACGUCGCCGACUUGACGGUACCUCCAAAGGAAGCACCGGCUAACUCCGUGCCAGCAGCCGCGGUAAUACGGAGGGUGCAAGCGUUGUUCGGAA